rnacentral:rRNA from 1 species
AUUCCCCUAGUAACUGCGAGUGAAGCGGGAAAAGCUCAAAUUUAAAAUCUGAUGGUCUUUGGCCGUCCGAGUUGUAAUCUAGAGAAGUGUUUUCCGUGCCGGACCGUGUACAAGUUUCUUGGAACAGAACAUCAUAGAGGGUGAGAAUCCCGUCUUUGACACGGACUGCCGGUGCUCUGUGAUGCACUCUCGAAGAGUCGCGUUGUUUGGGAAUGCAGCGCAAAAUGGGUGGUGAAUUCCAUCUAAAGCUAAAUAUUGGCGAGAGACCGAUAGCGAACAAGUACCGUGAGGGAAAGAUGAAAAGCACUUUGGAAAGAGAGUUAAACAGUACGUGAAAUUGUUGAAAGGGAAACGCUUGAAGUCAGUCGCGUCUUGCGGAACUCAGCCUUGCUUCUGCUUGGUGUAUUUUCUGUUUGACGGGCCAGCAUCGAUUUUGACCGUCGGAUAAAGUGUGGGGGAAUGUGGCAUCCUCGGAUGUGUUAUAGCCCUUGCUCGCAUACGACGGUUGGGAUCGAGGACCCGACAGCACGCCCUUUUGGCCGGGGUUCGCCCACGUACGUGCUUAGGAUGCUGGCGUAAUGGCUUUAAACGACCCGUCUUGAAACACGGACCAAGGAGUCUAACAUGCCUGCGAGUGUUUGGGUGGAAAACCCAUGCGCGUAAUAAAAGUGAAAGUUGAGACCUCUGUCGUGGAGGGCAUCGACGCCCGGUCUUGAGCUUCGGCGACGGAUCCGCGGUUGAGCAUGUAUGUUGGGACCCGAAAGAUGGUGAACUAUGCCUGAAUAGGGUGAAGCCAGAGGAAACUCUGGUGGAGGCUCGUAGCGAUUCUGACGUGCAAAUCGAUCGUCAAAUUUGGGUAUAGGGGCGAAAGACUAAUCGAACCAU